AGUGAACGCUGGCGGUAGGCCUAACACAUGCAAGUCGAACGGCAGCACAGUAAGAGCUUGCUCUUACGGGUGGCGAGUGGCGGACGGGUGAGGAAUACAUCGGAAUCUACUUUUUCGUGGGGGAUAACGUAGGGAAACUUACGCUAAUACCGCAUACGACCUACGGGUGAAAGCAGGGGAUCUUCGGCCUUUGCGGGUUUGAUUGAGCCGAUGUCGGAUUAGCUAGUUGGCGGGGUAAAGGCCCACCAAGGCGACGAUCCGUAGCUGGUCUGAGAGGAUGAUCAGCCACACUGGAACUGAGACACGGUCCAGACUCCUACGGGAGGCAGCAGUGGGGAAUAUUGGACAAUGGGCGCAAGCCUGAUCCAGCCAUACCGCGUGGGUGAAGAAGGCCUUCGGGUUGUAAAGCCCUUUUGUUGGGAAAGAAAAGCAGCAGGUUAAUACCCCGCUGUUCUGACGGUACCCAAAGAAUAAGCACCGGCUAACUUCGUG
rnacentral:rRNA from 1 species